rnacentral:rRNA from 1 species
GACGAACGCUGGCGGCGUGCCUAAUACGUGCAAGUCGAACGCUGAAGGAGGAGCUUGCUUCUCUGGAUGAGUUGCGAACGGGUGAGUAACGCGUAGGUAACCUGCCUGGUAGCGGGGGAUAACUAUUGGAAACGAUAGCUAAUACCGCAUAAUAGUAGAUGUUGCAUGACAUUUACUUAAAAGGUGCAAUUGCAUCACUACCAGAUGGACCUGCGUUGUAUUAGCUAGUUGGUGGGGUAACGGCUCACCAAGGCGACGAUACAUAGCCGACCUGAGAGGGGGAUCGGCCACACUGGGACUGAGACACGGCCCAGACUCCUACGGGAGGCAGCAGUAGGGAAUCUUCGGCAAUGGACGAAAGUCUGACCGAGCAACGCCGCGGGAGUGAAGAAGGGUGUCGGAUCGUAAAGCUCUGUUGUAAGAGAAGAACGAGUGUGAGAGUGGAAAGUUCACACUGUGACGGUAGCUUACCAGAAAGGGACGGCUAACUACGUG